rnacentral:lncRNA from 1 species
CUGUAGCUGCCCAUGCUUAAACUCCUAGCUUACACACGGAAUUGCAAGUUCCUGGUUCAGCACACAGGCCGGUAUCCACAUCUCUCACAGAAAAUUCAAGCUUGCACACAAAUCCACAUGGGGCAGGUGCUUUGCACAGGUCGGAAGCUGCCAGCUCUUUUACGGAACUGCAAUCCCAUGGCUCAUCGCACAUACCAGUAUCCUCAACUCUUGCUGCGGCUGCAAAGCCACACACGGAACC